UUGUGGUGUGCAGAACAGACCAACGUUCUUGCAUUCGCCAUAAUGCCUAUGCCCACAUUUUACUAUACAAGCGAGCGUGCUCAGUAACGUUAUUCGAUGCAAUGACGCAGUGAUAGCUGGCUAGUCGGGGGCCAUUAGCACUAUCAUAAAUGGCGCCGUUGUGGUUGUUGGACAAUGUUGAACAAAGGGAGGUGCACAUCUAGGCCUGGGACAUGAGGGGGCGGGGAAGACGAUGUCGCUUACUGAUUUGUACUAAAAACGGAACUGAAUCGCUCGCACGCACUCAUCUGCUUGUGGAGCGAGGACCGCUUUUUGUUGCGAAAACGCAAAUUUCAAUGGCUAGCUACGGUAGCGUUAUAUUGGUAAAGAGGACGAGAAGGCAGCGCUAGCUACCAGGGGGCAGGAUGGUCUUGGGCCUUUAUGAGCUAAGCCCCCCCCAUACGCAUUUGUUCUUCACUCGCUGGCACUUGACUGGUUUUUAUUAAACUUGCUAGGUUACUUUCAUUUUGUGGUGAAAAGGAAGGAUGUCUGACGAGGGGAAGCUUUUUGUGGGUGGCCUCAGCUUUGACACUAAUGAACAGUCAUUAGAAGAUGUAUUCUCCAAAUAUGGGCAAAUAUCUGAAGUUGUUGUAAUUAAAGACAGAGAAACUCAGAGGUCCAGGGGCUUUGGUUUCGUCACCUUCGAGAACCCAGAUGAGGCCAAGGAUGCUAUGCUGGCCAUGAACGGCAAGUCUCUUGAUGGCAGACAGAUCCGUGUCGACCAGGCUGGCAAAUCUGGCGGUGGUGGCAGGUCCGGAGGCGGAUUCCGAGGGGGCUCUUCAGGCGGCAGAGGAGGUGGAGGAGGAUACUUCCGUGGAGGCAGAGGUGGUGGUGGUGGAAGAGGUGGUGGAGACCGGGGAUAUGGUGGUGGACGUUACGACAACAGAAGUGGAGGCUCAUACGGAUCAGAAAGAGGCUACUACAACAAAGACAGAGCGCAAGGAGGAGGAUAUGGAGAUCGUUCAGGAGGUUCGUACAGAGACAGCUACGAUAGCUAUGGCGGUGCUGUUGUCAGUGGCGCACAGUGAGGCUGACUCCUGUAGUUGAAAUAUGUUGAACUGAAGAAACAAUAUGUUGAAGGCCCAGUUUAGCACUGCAGAAAGCCAAGGUGACGAGGGUGGCUGGUAGGACAGUGGCGUCCGGCGGCCCCAUCCCGAUGACGGCGGGCCUGGCCUGGUCCUAGCCCAGCGCCUGCUGCUCCGCGACACUUUAAAUCUUCUUCUGAAACCCACCAUGUAGAUAAGAGCAGUCCUGGAUAAGUGCGGGGAGGGCUGGCUUGCACUCCGAGCCACCCACCACCGGUCUGUUCCAAGUUUUUGUUUUUUACUUUCUGAUCCUCCUUAUUUGUUAUUGAAAACCGCAGAGAACGAAAUUUUCAUUUACAGUUUUUGUGGGGAGCUCGAAAGAGCAAGGCUCAUGUGCUGUAGGCCUUUGCCUCACUUUGGGCUGUGCACGGAAGAGGCACAAGCUGAGAGACAGGGAAUGUAUCUUGGAUAGAGAAUGGUAAUGCUGUUGUAGUUUCAAAGCUCUGCUCUGUAACAAAGUACGAAAAUGCUUGCACUUAUUUUGGUUGAUUUGAUUGUGACUGCUUUGCCACCCAUUAAUGGUGAUGAGUCUGAAUGAGGGAAAUGUACACAAAGGUCCGAAACCUUCCAUCACUACCAUCAUGUUUGCACUGUUCUACCUGACAGAGGGAGGGAUGGUGGAGACGUUCUCUAGUCCACUGGGCUUGUUAGGAUCGCUGUGGGUUCCGGUAAAUGAAGAGGGUCUGCUCAAUUGUUUUCUGGAUCACUGAUCUGUUUGACUGACCUAUCUAUGGCAGGUUCUUGUCUAAUUUAUUUUGGUUUCUACUGAGAACGGUUUUUAUUUUAUUAGCUGCACAUUUUGAAUAAGGAGCUGUCACAUGACAGUUGAGUACACAGCGGUGAAUUAAUGUGAAGCGGGCCAGUGCUUGAAGGUAACUACUACUUAUGAGCUCUUUUCAACAAACCUACUUUUUAUGAGGGUACAAAUGGAGUGAUUUCACAACUGUUCUCGUCAUAGCAUCAGAUUGGUUUUGUAUUUGAUUUUUUUUUAAGCAUUCUGUAUCUUCAUGGUUGUAUUUUUCCUAAAUAAAAAAACCUUUA